AUUGAACGCUAGCGGGAUGCUUUACACAUGCAAGUCGAACGGCAGCGCGGACUUCGGUCUGGCGGCGAGUGGCGAACGGGUGAGUAAUGUAUCGGAACGUGCCCAGUAGCGGGGGAUAACUACGCGAAAGCGUAGCUAAUACCGCAUACGCCCUACGGGGGAAAGCAGGUGAUCGUAAGACCUUGCACUUUUUGAGCAGCCUAUAUCGGAUUACCUAGGAGGAGAGGUAACGGCUCACCAAGGCGACGAUCCGUAACUGGUUUGAGGGGACGACCAGCCACACUGUGACUGAGACACGGCACAGACUCUUACGGGAGGCAGCAGUGGGGAAUUUUGCAGAAUGGGGGCAACCCUGAUCCAGCCAUCCCGCGUGUACGAUGAAGGCCUUCGGGUUGUAAAGCACUUUUGGCAGGAAAGAAACAUCGCGGGCUAAUACCCCGUGGAACUGACGGUACCUGCAGAAUAAGCACCGGCUAACUCCGUG
rnacentral:rRNA from 1 species